ACAUAUUGUGAGCUCGAUGAGUAGGGCGGGACACGUGGUAUCCUGUCUGAAUAUGGGGGGACCAUCCUCCAAGGCUAAAUACUCCUGACUGACCGAUAGUGAACCAGUACCGUGAGGGAAAGGCGAAAAGAACCCCGGCGAGGGGAGUGAAAAAGAACCUGAAACCGUGUACGUACAAGCAGUGGGAGCACGCUUAGGCGUGUGACUGCGUACCUUUUGUAUAAUGGGUCAGCGACUUAUAUUCUGUAGCAAGGUUAACCGAAUAGGGGAGCCGAAGGGAAACCGAGUCUUAACUGGGCGUUAAGUUGCAGGGUAUAGACCCGAAACCCGGUGAUCUAGCCAUGGGCAGGUUGAAGGUUGGGUAACACUAACUGGAGGACCGAACCGACUAAUGUUGAAAAAUUAGCGGAUGACUUGUGGCUGGGGGUGAAAGGCCAAUCAAACCGGGAGAUAGCUGGUUCUCCCCGAAAGCUAUUUAGGUAGCGCCUCGUGAAUUCAUCUCCGGGGGUAGAGCACUGUUUCGGCAAGGGGGUCAUCCCGACUUACCAACCCGAUGCAAACUGCGAAUACCGGAGAAUGUUAUCACGGGAGACACACGGCGGGUGCUAACGUCCGUCGUGAAGAGGGAAACAACCCAGACCGCCAGCUAAGGUCCCAAAGUCAUGGUUAAGUGGGAAACGAUGUGGGAAGGCCCAGACAGCCAGGAUGUUGGCUUAGAAGCAGCCAUCAUUUAAAGAAAGCGUAAUAGCUCACUGGUCGAGUCGGCCUGCGCGGAAGAUGUAACGGGGCUAAACCAUGCACCGAAGCUGCGGCAGCGACGCUUAUGCGUUGUUGGGUAGGGGAGCGUUCUGUAAGCCUGCGAAGGUGUGCUGUGAGGCAUGCUGGAGGUAUCAGAAGUGCGAAUGCUGACAUAAGUAACGAUAAAGCGGGUGAAAAGCCCGCUCGCCGGAAGACCAAGGGUUCCUGUCCAACGUUAAUCGGGGCAGGGUGAGUCGACCCCUAAGGCGAGGCCGAAAGGCGUAGUCGAUGGGAAACAGGUUAAUAUUCCUGUACUUGGUGUUACUGCGAAGGGGGGACGGAGAAGGCUAUGUUGGCCGGGCGACGGUUGUCCCGGU
rnacentral:rRNA from 1 species